GAAGGGUUAAUGUAACAAGAGCUUUAAUGCAAUAAAAGGCAAGCGCUCCUGCGAUUCCGCUCCCAUGCAGCGAAAUGUCACAGUCCAUUGGCCUUCCCUAUGAACACUGCACAAAAUUACACCUAUUUUCAUUACUGUGUUUCAACUACAAUAUUGUUAAGUAAAUAUUUGCACAAAACUGUGACCGUUUUAAGGUUUCCUGAGGUGUGAGCUAUCCCACCCGGUAAAUAAUUAAAGGAUGCGCUUUCUCUCGUAGCACAAACCAGUGCUUGAUAUAGGUUUGAUCAUUUCACAUCUCUUUGAUAAUCCAUAACUGUCGCCUGCAAUCAUUUUCAUCGUUCAGCCAAGCAAAGAUAAAAGGUAGAACAUGCUUCUUUCACCUACUCCCAAGGAAACUCCAUUAUCCUUGAAAGGCCAUGUGACUGCACGAGAGCCAAUCGGGGCAGAGAACAGCCUCCCACAAGGACAAGCUCUGUGUGAGCAGAAAAUGAAGUUGUUACCAGACAGCAAACUGCAGCCCUCGGUUCUUAUGAAUAUUUGAAUGAGUAACUAAAAACAGCCCAGUGAACUCUAAGCAACUGUGACAGCUGAAACUGCCUGGGAAACUAGCAGUCUACAAGGACCAUGAUGAAAAGAUCACCAGUCAGGCUCCUUCCAACACCGUUUCCUACCUCGCAAUAUUGUAAAACAUUAUUGUUCUCAAAAUAUUAGUUAGAGGAGAGAGGGGGGCGGGAGGAAAGCCUGCUUGCCUCCCAUAAAUUUUCAUAAGGAACCUCUCCAGAAAUGUUCAUUCCAUUAAAAUUCAAUGGUUUCUAAGCAUCGACUCAAGGCAGGAGAAUCGUCACAUUUUUUGAGACAUUGAAAUAUUGAUGUGGCUUUUGCUUAUACUCCUAGAAAAAUUGGCCCUGGUGAAUCUUUCAUGAAUAUCUCUCAGCUAGCUCCGCUUGGAAAGAAAGACGAUGAGAACACUUUCCCCUGAAGCAACAAUGUUCUGAAUAAUUUGCACAAGCACUGAAAUCCCCCCCAAAUAAGCCAAGUAACUGGGAAUUCGGCUUUUAUAUUUAUCAUAAUGAUAUGAUGUACUGCAUCCUUGUAGAAACACACUAGUCAUCUUCCCCCUCCCAGUUUCCCUUCCUUAAAAUGUCUAUGAUGUCAUUUCUUACUGAAUUCCUUCUCCCCUGCCUACUGCGUGCAAUUUCCACUGCUGCAGGACCGCAUGUAUACACUGCAAACUUUGUCCAUAAGCUGAAAAUAUAUCAGCCUCCUUGCAUAUGUGCCUAUAAGCAUUUCCAUCAUCAGCCGCUUGUUUUCACAUGGGACCCAGGGACUUUGAAGAUGUGCCCAGGUGGCAUCUCCACCCAGUUCUAUUUGCAUCCUAUAGUGUGGAACUGAGAACACAGGAUGUCUUCUUUUCCCAGGCAACCUCCUUAUGUUUCCCAUGGGAAGCUAACUGUGUGAUGGAUAUGUUUGCGGUCCUCACUAGAUCCAGCCAAAGGAACCCAGAUGCACCCAGAAAGGGAAAACUAUUCAGCAGUUAUGCACAGCUUUUGCUAUUUCAUGUUGUCAGCUAUUUGCUUACACCCUUAGGAUUCCUGAGUGGUUAACAACAAUCAUAAUGACCAAUAAUUUCACCAGCUGUAAUGCUUCUUUGUGGCAUCUAGCAGUUGUCAAGUGGAAAUGGACAGGCUCGUCCUGCUUUACAUGUGAGAGCACACCGAAGUGAUAAGCAAGGGCUGCAAUCAGGCAACUUCCAUGGAUGCCACAGACUGCCACAUCUUGCUAAAAAAGUUUGGAAGUCGUCACUAUUUCUCUAAGAUUCAGCCCCAAACUGAGGCAGUGGAGCCACCACAUAUACAAGGUGUGACUGGAAAGUUCGGUGAAUGGUCACAGAAAUCGGACAGCAAGAAAUAUUCGAACAUACAUACCUUGCAGGCCUUCAAAGUAGGCUCCCUCUGAUACAAUGCACCGUUGACAACGUUCAUAGAACUGUUGGAAACCUCUGGAGAAGUCCUCUUUUUGUACUGCUUUCAGUUCCCUCGUCACAGCAGCUUGGAUGUGUGAAAUGUUGGGAAAUCUGUGCCCUUUCAGGGCAGAUUUCAGUUUUGCAAAAAGAAAGAAGGCCGGUGGGGCCAGAUUGGGAGAAUAUGGAGGGUGGGACAACUCAGUAACCUCAGUAACGAUUUCAUGCAGAAUAUGCAAUUCUUCUGCCAUCAUUUGGAUGGACAAACGAUGAUCCCACAUCAAUAACUCACAAGCUCUGUCAACAUUUGCCGCUGUUUGGUUCGUCAACGGUCUGCCAGACUGAGGAUCAUCUUCGAUGGUUUGCCACCCUUCACAUAAAUGCUUAAACCACUCAUACACUGUCUUUUGAGUUACAGCUUCAUCUCCGUACACAAUUGUGAGCAUUUUGUGGGUUUCCAAUGCCGAUUGUAUGUUCAAAUACUUCUCACUGUCCGAUUUCUGUGACCAUUCACCACACUUUCUGGUCACACCUUGUAUUUUACAUUUUCGCACACAGACCUUCUUUUUGAAUGUCUUGACAACUCAAAGUCUGGUGAUAAAAGCAUAGCUCAUCAUAGUCUAGAAUUUUUUGCAAAGUGGAAUGAGACCGUGUUAAACUUUGGGUAAGCCAGUGUGCAAGCUGUCGUGAAGGCACAGGGAUGUGGGGCAUUCGUGUAAAAAAUAAAAUAAAAAAAUGUGUUGCAGUUUCUGUCUCACAGCUGUUCAUUGGAAUCCACCCUGCAUGAUGUAGUGGGUUUGGGACCUCGGCCAAGUAGCUUUUGACAGCUGACUUUAUGAGGCCCCAUGACUCAUGUCAGGGCCUGGGUAAAGAAACUCAUCACCAUUGUCAUCAUUUAAUAGUUGCCCAAGAACAAAAACAAAAAACAAAACAAAACAAAACCCUCUAGAUGCUCUGCAACAUGUAAAAAGCAAUGAGCGUUCUGUACUUAAGCUAAAUGUACAGAAAAUACAUAAUAAAAAGGGAAACUAGAGAGAGGUAUUUAUUUCAAGUAUUGUCAUACUCCUCAGAAUUUCUAAGUAGUUUGUUUUACAUACUAUUUAUUUUAAGAAGCUUGAUUUUUGUAUAACAAUGCAGAAUAAUAUAAUGUCCCAUUAUGAAUAAGGCCUUCUCUAUGGCAACACCUAAGCUGUAGUAUUCCAUCCCUACCAUAUGUCUGGUUAACGUUAUGCAGUUUUCACUGUAUGUGGGAGACAAACCUCUUUGCCCUGGCCUUUGGCAGUUGAGGUGUAUACUUUAGGAACCAUCCUAUUUUCUUCAGUGUAAUUGGCAAGGCUUAAAGUCAAAGACCGAUAUAAGAGAUACAUGUUUUAUUGCGGGUAGGGCAGAUGAAGGUGUCUGGUUUUGCUGCUACAGGUAAACCGUGGCAUUUCUUCUCUCUGCACUCCUUGUCUGGUCACCGCUUUGUAUACUACUACUACUACUACUACUACUACUACUACUACAAUAACAAUAACAGCAUAUUCAUGUCAUAAGUAAAUGACAGCACAAACCAAACCUGCCUGGAUGAAAGAGUUUGCAUCUGGCAGAUUUUCAGCUUUCCCAGCUAAACCUGGGCUCAAUGAGGACUACAGGGACGUGGUUGGUUCUGUGGUUUAAACCACAGAGCCUCUUGGGCUUGCUGAUCAGAAGGUUGGCGGUUCGAAUCCCCGUGACAGGGUGAGCUCCCGUUGCUCGGUCCCAGCUCCUGCCAACCUAGCAGUUCAAAAGCACAACAGUGCAAGUAGAUAGAUAGGUACCACUGCGGCAGGAAGGUAAAUGGUGUUUCCAUGCGCUGCUCUGGUUUCUGUCAUGGUGUUCUGUUGCGCCAGAAGCAGUUUAGUCAUGCUGGCCACAUGACCUGGAAAGCUGUCUGUGGACAAAUGCUGGCUCCUUCAGUCUGAAGCGAGAUGAGCGCCACAACUCCAUAGUUACCUUUGACUGGACUUAACCAUCCAGGGGUCCUUUACCUUUACCUUUUUUUCACACUAGCAUAAGUGGGUUAAACCACAGAGCCUAGGACUUGCCGAUCAGAAGGUCGGCUGUUCGAAUCCCCGCGACGGGGUGAGCUCCCGUUGCUCGGUCCCUGCUCCUGCCAACCUGGCAGUUCGAAAGCACGUCAAAGUGCAAGUAGAUAAAUAGGUGCCGCUCCAGCGGGAAGGUAAACGGAAUUUCCGUGCUCUGGUUCACCAGAAGUGGCUUAGUCAUGCUGGCCACAUGAUCCGGAAGCUGUACACCGGCUCCCUUGGCCAGUAAAGCAAGAUGAACACUGCAACCCCAGAGUUGGCCACGACUGGACCUAAUGGUCAGGGGUCCCUUUACCUUUACCGUUUUAAGUCCCUCAUCUCAUCUUAGCUAGAGAUGCACUGGCAUAAGUCCCUUGCCCCAGCUCAUCCAGGACUCUGCUGGGCCUCUGCUAGUGGAACUUUAGCUGAUGUAAUUGAUGCUGACAUUAAGUCACAAAGUAGGAUGUUCUGAGGCACAGUGGAGCAAGGAAAGACUCAGUCUUUCCAAACUCAGUCAUGUAACCUAGAGCCAAAUCCUCAAAAUCAGACCCACACUCACCUGCCGCCUUAGCUGGCAACAGCCCCUCCCAGAGGCUCCUGAACAGAAUUUGAAAUACAGCAGCUUCUUAUAGUUAGGAUUGCUCUCUUAAUGACUAAAAUCAAACAAAAGGUGAAGAAAAGCUUGGAUGAUAAAGAGCUAGAUGCACACUGAAGGACUGAGUAUGGAAGCAAUUAUUUUUAAUCUGCUUUUAAUAUACAGAAAACAAGUCUAAACAUUGCUUCAGCAGAGUAGGCUUGACAACAAUCUAUCCAGACAUCUGUUUGUUUGUUAAUUAACAUAUUUAUAAUCUGCACUUUCAUAGAAAUAUAUAUCAAGAUGGUAUACAACAUAUAAGAAUAAAGCCACC